rnacentral:rRNA from 1 species
UACAGAGGGUGCAAGCGUUAAUCGGAAUUACUGGGCGUAAAGCGUGCGUAGACGGUUGCGUAAGUCAGAUGUGAAAGCCCGGGGCUCAACCCCGGAGGGUCAGCCGAUACUGGCAGACUAGAGUACGGAAGAGGUAGCUGGAAUUCCCGGUGUAGUGGUGAAAUGCGUAGAUAUCGGGAGGAACACCAGUGGCGAAGGCGGCUUUCUGGUCUGCUCUUGACGCUGAGGCGCGAAAGCUAGGGUAGCAAACGGG